AUGAUACCCCAAGGUAGUAUAACACAAAUUGAGCUGGAAUACAUGCUAAUCGAUGAAAAUUUAGAGCCCAAGGCCCUGCCCUACCCACUUUUGAAGAAAAUAACAGAUAAUUUUUCUGAGAAGCUGGUGAUUGGAAGAGGUGGCUUUGCAGUGGUUUACAAAGGAAAGCUUGAUAAUGGAACUAUCGCUGUAAAGAAGUUGUCAAAUAUAUACAUGCAAGAGGAACAAUUCCACCGAGAGGUGGAAUGUCUAAUGAAGGUGAAGCACAAAAAUGUUCUACGGUUUCUAGGAUAUUGUGCUGACACCCAAGGGAAUAUGGCAAGCUACAAUGGGAGAAUGGUUAUGGCAGACGUACAACAGAGAUUGCUCUGCUUUGAGUAUCUACCUAAGGGAAAUCUUGAUGAUUUUAUUAAAGAUACAUCUGAAGAACUUGAAUGGAGAAAGCGCUACCAAGUAAUAAAAGGGAUAUGCGAAGGGAUAAAUUAUCUUCACCAAAAAAAUAUCGUGCACUUAGAUCUGAAACCCGAGAAUAUAUUAUUCGAUAAAGAUAUGAUGCCGAAAAUUACUGAUUUCGGAAUAUCAAGGUGUUUUGAGGAAGAUCAAACACGCAUCAUUACCAAGAAUGUGGGUGGAACGUUAGGAUAUUUGGCACCUGAAUUCUAUGUGGGUGAAAUCACACACAAGUUUGACUUGUAUAGUCUUGGUAUUAUUAUUAUGGAGAUGUUGACUGGAAAGAAGGGGUGUCACAACAUUGCAAAUGUAUGUGAAAGUUGGAGUAGUAACUCUGAUAUAUUGUGGUGGGACCAAAUACGAGUAUGUGCUGAGAUUGGGAUCGAGUGCAGUGACUUAGAACCAGCCAAGAGACCAGAAAAUAUUAAACAUAUAAUUGAUAGACUUUUAUCAACAGAAAGUAGUACACAUGUAAUCCCAGCAGGUGGGCCCAAGAAGCUUCUUGUCCUUCACCCGCCAGUGCUUCGCUUCCCCUUUGAGGCCAACAAGGUUAUCACGUGCCCGCUUCAGCUAACAAAUAACACCGAUAAACCCAUUGCAUUUAGGCUAAUGGACAAGAGUGUGGGGUCCUCCUUCCUAAGGCUGCCAUUGUGUGGUGUUGUGCUGCCUAACACACCUUACACUCUGGUCGUGACAACAAAAACGCAAGAAAAGUGGCCGCGAAAGUGGAUCACAGAUGUGAACCUCCAGGGUGCUUCAUUAAUAUUGGGGGAUGAUGAGCAUAUAAAGACAUUCCAAAGUCAUCCAGAACAGUAUUUUCAACAGAUGGGGAAUGCCGUGCAGAAGGUGGAACUAAAAGGACUUUAUACUGUGCCACAACAAGUCACUAUAUCAACACAUGAGCCAAUCUCCACCACAAUAAAGCUACUAUGCAAGGUAGAACACCCUGGCGAGUAUUCCUUGGACACGAACCAUGCAAAGCAAUGGUGA
rnacentral:rRNA from 1 species